AGAGUUUGAUCAUGGCUCAGGAUGAACGCUAGCGGCAGGCUUAAUACAUGCAAGUCGAGGGGCAGCAGGACUGUAGCAAUACAGUUGCUGGCGACCGGCAAACGGGUGCGGAACACGUACGCAACCUACCCAAAACUGGGGAAUAGCCCGGGGAAACCCGGAUUAAUACCUCGUAACAUAAUGAAGUGGCAUCACUUUAUUAUUAUAGCUCCGGCGGUUUUGGAUGGGCGUGCGCCUGAUUAGGUAGUUGGCGGGGUAACGGCCCACCAAGCCUGCGAUCAGUAACUGGUGUGAGAGCACGACCAGUCACACGGGCACUGAGACACGGGCCCGACUCCUACGGGAGGCAGCAGUAAGGAAUAUUGGUCAAUGGACGCAAGUCUGAACCAGCCAUGCCGCGUGAAGGAUGAAGGUCCUCUGGAUUGUAAACUUCUUUUAUAUGGGACGAAACCCGGGAAUUCUUUCCCGACUGACGGUACCAUAGGAAUAAGCACCGGCUAACUCCGUGCCAGCAGCCGCGGUAAUACGGAGGGUGCAAGCGUUAUCCGGAUUCACUGGGUUUAAAGGGUGCGUAGGAGGGCAGGUAAGUCAGUGGUGAAAUCUCCGAGCUUAACUCGGAAACUGCCGUUGAUACUAUCUGUCUUGAAUAUUGUGGAGGUGAGCGGAAUAUGUCAUGUAGCGGUGAAAUGCUUAGAUAUGACAUAGAACACCAAUUGCGAAGGCAGCUCGCUACACAUAUAUUGACUCUGAGGCACGAAAGCGUGGGGAUCAAACAGGAUUAGAUACCCUAGUAGUCC
rnacentral:rRNA from 1 species